AGGAAGAGGGCCGCGGACACCAAGCAGGCGGACAGCAGCAGCUCCGUGGUCAGGUUGUCCGCGUUCAGCUGCAAAGCGUCGCACACGAUCCCACGUCAGCGCUUCCGGAAAAACAGUUUCCCUCCGAAAUGUCCUCAUUCCACAAACCUGACAACCUACCCAGCCAGGCAACUGGUGAAAAAUAAGCUGCAGAAGCACAAGCAAACGUGGAGCACAAAUCUGAAUGACUGCAACCGGCUCUCCUCCUGGGACUUCAAUGCUCCAAAGCAGCCCUUCGUGCACGUACGUGCCUAAAUUAAACAAACAACACGUAAUAUUUAUUGGAAACUUACAUGUGCUGCAGAAUUUCCGAAACGAGCUCCUGAAAAAUUGGCAUUUUUAAUUAAAGAACUGGA